AGCUAGUUGGUGGGGUAACGGCCCACCAAGGCAUCGACGGGUAGCUGGUCUGAGAGGACGAUCAGCCACACUGGGACUGAGACACGGCCCAGACUCCUACGGGAGGCAGCAGUGGGGAAUCUUGCGCAAUGGGCGAAAGCCUGACGCAGCAACGCCGCGUGCGGGAUCAAGGCCUUCGGGUUGUAAACCGCUUUCAGUGGGGACGAACCAAGACGGUACCCACAGAAGAAGCCCCGGCCAACUACGUGCCAGCAGCCGCGGUAACACGUAGGGGGCAAGCGUUGUCCGGAUUCAUUGGGCGUAAAGAGCUCGUAGGCGGUUCGAUAAGUCGGGUGUGAAACCUCCAGGCUCAACCUGGAGACGCCACCCGAUACUGUUGUGACUAGAGUCCAGUAGGGGAGCGCGGAAUUCCUGGUGUAGCGGUGAAAUGCGCAGAUAUCAGGAGGAACACCAGCGGCGAAGGCGGCGCUCUGGGCUGGAACUGACGCUGAGGAGCGAAAGCGUGGGGAGCGAACAGGAUUAGAUACCCUGGUAGUCCACGCCGUAAACGUUGGGUACCAGGUGUGGGGUCUUAUCAACGGAUUCCGUGCCGAAGCUAACGCAUUAAGUACCCCGCCUGGGGAGUACGGCCGCAAGGCUAAAACUCAAAGGAAUUGACGGGGGCCCGCACAAGCAGCGGAGCAUGUUGCUUAAUUCGAGGCAACGCGAAGAACCUUACCUGGUUUGACAUGGUAGGAAAAGCCAUAGAGAUAUGGUGUCCUUUUGGGCCUAUCACAGGUGGUGCAUGGCUGUCGUCAGCUCGUGUCGUGAGAUGCUGGGUUAAGUCCCGCAACGAGCGCAACCCUUGUCCUAUGUUGCCAGCACGUAAUGGUGGGGACUCGUAGGAGACUGCCGGGGUCAACUCGGAGGAAGGUGGGGACGACGUCAAGUCAUCAUGCCCCUUAUGUCCAGGGCUGCAAGCAUGCUACAAUGGCUGGUACAAAGGGCUGCUAAACCGCGAGGUCGAGCGAAUCCCACAAAGCCAGUCUCAGUUCGGAUCGGAGUCUGCAACUCGACUCCGUGAAGCUGGAGUUGCCAGUAAUCCCGGAUCAGCAACGCCGGGGUGAAUACGUUCCCGGGCCUUGUACACACCGCCCGUCACAUCACGAAGGUCGGUAACACCCGAAGCCAGUGGCCCAACCCGCAAGGGGGGGAGCUGUCGAAGGUGGGAUCGGCGAUUGGGGUGAAGUCGUAACAAGGUAGCCGUACCGGAAGGUGCGGCUG
rnacentral:rRNA from 1 species